rnacentral:RNase_P_RNA from 1 species
CAAGCCGGCCGGACCAUCGCGUUCCGCUUGCGGAAUGAGGAAAGUCCGAACACGAUAGAGCAAGGUAAGAGGUAACUCCUCUCGCCAGCGAUGGCGUUAUAGGGCCACAGAAACCAGGUCUGCCUCGUUUGCGCAUGCGCAAACGAAGUAAGAGUGAAAAGGGUAACCAAUACCUCGUGCAAAUGCAAAUAGGCUUACGCUCUCCGCAUCUGCGGAGUGAAGAGUGGCUCGCUCAAGUAAGCGGGUAGCAUGCUCGAGGCUGUUGGCGACAACAGUCCCAGAUAAAUGAUGGUCAUUCCGUUUCAACGGAAUACAGAAUUCGGCUUAUAGGCCGGCUUGAAAU